CACCCUAAACCUUGAAGGAGGCAAGUUUAUUUGCCUAUAGGAGUUGAGGAAGUGGAAGUCCAGGGACUGCCCCAAGGUCACACAGCUGAAAAUCUUUGGCCCUCGCUUCAUGCUCUGUCACUGUGACAGACUCCAUGUGACACACUGCAGUCAACUUCACACUGAAUGGUGCGGCUCAGCCUGCUGAAGCCUUGGCUCCGUGCUGAGAGCAGGAGAAACUGCGAUCAAGAGCUCAGAUCCUGUAAUUUACUUGAUGCAGGAACCAACUGUAUGUCCUGAGAAUCGUCCAGGCUGGAUUUCGCUGACGGCAUUCCCGGGGCCGAAGGAAGGACAUCUCUACGAACAGCGCACUUCCAACUGCAGAGCUCACUGGGUGUUUAGUGGAAUAUCGUGGAUGCUGGUGCAUUAUAUCCCCCACAGCAAAUGCCUCCUCAUCUGACUCACAGAGCCCCAGAGGCCAUGUUAUGAAAGCCUCAGCUCUGUAUCCAGGGGCUGGUUGCACUGCAUGGCUCCAGGGGAGUUCAGAUUCCAAGAACCCUAUUUCCAGUAUUGUGGCACAUAGGAAAAUUGUUUUGUUCUUAAGAAAUAAAUGCUGAAGUAUUUCAGGGUGGAGCAUCA